rnacentral:rRNA from 1 species
UAAGGAAUAUUGGUCAAUGGACGCAAGUCUGAACCAGCCAUGCCGCGUGAAGGAUUAAGGCCCUCAGGGUUGUAAACUUCUUUUAUUUGGGAAGAAACCCACGGUUUCUACUGUGGUUGACGGUACCAGAUGAAUAAGCACCGGCUAACUCCGUGCCAGCAGCCGCGGUAAUACGGAGGGUGCAAGCGUUAUCCGGAUUUACUGGGUUUAAAGGGUGCGUAGGCGGGCAGGUAAGUCUGUGGUGAAAUCCCCGAGCUUAACUCGGGAACUGCCAUGGAUACUAUUUGUCUUGAAUACCGUGGAGGUGAGCGGAAUAUGGCAUGUAGCGGUGAAAUGCUUAGAUAUGCCAUGGAACACCGAUUGCGAAGGCAGCUCACUACACGGUGAUUGACGCUGAUGCACGAAAGCGUGGGUAGCGAAC